AACACCCGUCUGGCUUUUUCCAAACGCUCUUUGGGAACACCAACCACACACACACACAAAAGAAACCGUUAUCGCCCUCGCAAGAUGAAUUUUCGACUGGUGGUAUACGCUGUCUGCCACGUACGAGCUUCCAGCAGUGAGUGUGCCACGUAAGAGCCAAGUGAUAUUUACUCCGUAUCUCGUCGGAUGACCAUUGCUGAGCCAAAGGCGUACGGCAGCUACUGCAGCUGGACAUCGGUGGACGUAGAUGUUAUGGUCAAUCUGAGUCACGGUAGUGCAUUUUCCCUGUUUCAGUGUUGGUUUUGUAAAUUCUGUUGUAGCUACGAAAACGAACAGGGAAACAGCACUCAGAAAGGACAAGGUGUAGCAGAACAUCUCCGGACAUCUAUUUACCAUGACGACCUACAGUAAAAUGAGACAACUCGUCAUGGAUUUCAAUAUUUAUUGGUAUGAGGACGGCGACAUUUUCCUUGGAGUUGAUGAUCCUGGGUAACGUCCCGCAUGCCGCACACAUCGUCACCCGAUUGGGACCAGGAAUCGCCAGCGUUGGCUGGCUGUUCGACAUCGGACCAGUGAUCGCCAGUCAUUUCGUCGUCGGUGGUGGCAGGUAGUUCUCCGGAACCCAAGUCCUUCUACGACUUCCAGAACGUUGCAACAGGUACUGCACCUUUCCAUUCCGAACGCGUCUUUUUAUAAUGCGGUGGCCCUUUCCAGGCUGCACACGUGUUAAUUCGCUUGCAUAAAAUUGACCUUCAAUAGGUUCUUCCUGCUGGUCACGUAAGAGAUAGGUAUUCGGGUAACCAAUCUUGACUGCUCUCACCACAAAAAUUUCACGCGUAAACGAACCAAGAUAACUUUUGACUA